rnacentral:rRNA from 1 species
CUUGAGAUCGGAGUGCUUGCACUCUGUGAAACAAGAUACAGGCUAGCGGCGGACGGGUGAGUAACACGUGGGUAACCUGCCCAAGAGAUCGGGAUAACACCUGGAAACAGAUGCUAAUACCGGAUAACAACAGAUGAUGCCUAUCAACUGUUUAAAAGAUGGUUCUGCUAUCACUCUUGGAUGGACCUGCGGUGCAUUAGCUAGUUGGUAGGGUAACGGCCUACCAAGGCGAUGAUGCAUAGCCGAGUUGAGAGACUGAUCGGCCACAUUGGGACUGAGACACGGCCCAAACUCCUACGGGAGGCAGCAGUAGGGAAUCUUCCACAAUGGACGCAAGUCUGAUGGAGCAACGCCGCGUGAGUGAAGAAGGGUUUCGGCUCGUAAAGCUCUGUUGUUGGUGAAGAAGGACAGGGGUAGUAACUGACCUUUGUUUGACGGUAAUCAAUUAGAAAGUCACGGCUAACUACGUGCCAGCAGCCGCGGUAAUACGUAGGUGGCAAGCGUUGUCCGGAUUUAUUGGGCGUAAAGCGAGUGCAGGCGGCUCGAUAAGUCUGAUGUGAAAGCCUUCGGCUCAACCGGAGAAUUGCAUCAGAAACUGUCGAGCUUGAGUACAGAAGAGGAGAGUGGAACUCCAUGUGUAGCGGUGAAAUGCGUAGAUAUAUGGAAGAACACCGGUGGCGAAGGCGGCUCUCUGGUCUGUUACUGACGCUGAGGCUCGAAAGCAUGGGUAGCGAACAGGAUUAGAUACCCUGGUAGUCCAUGCCGUANACGAUGAGUGCUAAGUGUUGGGAGGUUUCCGCCUCUCAGUGCUGCAGCUAACGCAUUAAGCACU